rnacentral:sRNA from 1 species
GCCGGGCAUGGUGGCGCAUGCCUGUAAUCCCAGUGGCGCAGGAGGCUGAGGCAGGAAGAUCACAAGUUCAAAGGCAGCCAUAGCAACUUAGUGAGGCCCUAUGCAACUCAGCGAGACCCUGUCUCUA